rnacentral:rRNA from 1 species
AUUGAACGCUGGCGGCAGGCUUAACACAUGCAAGUCGAGCGGAGAUGAGGUGCUUGCACCUUAUCUUAGCGGCGGACGGGUGAGCAAUGCUUAGGAAUCUGCCUAUUAGUGGGGGACAACAUUCCGAAAGGAAUGCUAAUACCGCAUACGUCCUACGGGAGAAAGCAGGGGAUCUUCGGACCUUGCGCUAAUAGAUGAGCCUAAGUCGGGUUAGCUAGUUGGUGGGGUAAAGGCCUACCAAGGCGACGAUCUGUAGCGGGUCUGAGAGGAUGAUCCGCCACACUGGGACUGAGACACGGCCCAGACUCCUACGGGAGGCAGCAGUGGGGAAUAUUGGACAAUGGGGGGAACCCUGAUCCAGCCAUGCCGCGUGUGUGAAGAAGGCCUUAUGGUUGUAAAGCACUUUAAGCGAGGAGGAGGCUACUGAGACUAAUACUCUUGGAUAGUGGACGUUACUCGCAGAAUAAGCACCGGCUAACUCUGUGCCAGCCGCCGCUGUAAAAC